UGGAGUCUGAGAACCUAGACAGGACCUUUAUGAUGAUAGAACAAGAACUGCCAUGCAACCUCACAUCCUCCCUUGUCUCUCUGAAAGCCAAGGGAGAACUGGGAUGAGAGACUAGGAAUCUUCCAAAACAUGAGCAGGGGAGAAAGAAAAUAGACCAGACUUCCAACCAGUCCAUAGGGCUUUCUACAUGAAGCAUUUUUUUUGUUAUUACAAGCCAAAGUGAAAUCUAGCUCAGAGCAUAGAGUUAUCAGCCUCAUUGACAUGAUACUUAAAGCCUACUAGCCGAAUGGAAUGGCACUAAACUCUUAAAGGAGGCUGCCUCCUCUCCCAGCCACAGGAUCAAUGUAAAAUGAGGAAAGGUAUGGAUUAAGUAAGGGAGCAGGCAAUUGACAAUAUCUGAGGUUAGACCUGAAGGAGCAGAGGGACUACUUGGCAUUUGUCUUUCAGCAGAGCUGUUGUUGCCAGGGAAAUACGUUAGAAUGCAUGAGCGCCUGCACCGUUACAACAUAUCAAAUAUUUUUAAUUAAAAAACCUACCAAGAAUUAAAUUAAAUUCAGCUCCACAAACAAUUUAUAAAAAUCAAUUACAGGGUGAGCUGCUUAAAAUGAUAACAUUGCAUAUAAUGAAGAUUCUAUAGCUAUAAUUUAGCAUCUUCCCCAUUUUCCCAGUUAUACAGACUGGAGACAGUCAAUAAAUUAAAUAUGUACUGAGACAACAUACUUUACCUACAUAAACUGCAAGACUUUUAUCCCAGGGAUCUGUGACUUGGGUGGUCCAUAUUUUAAGUGUGGAAUGCUAAAUAGUAUGGUAACUUGAAGGCUCUGACAAGAAGGUCAACAGAUUCUGCUUAGCAUUCUCAAACGUGUAAUUAGAAAUAUAUUUAUACUGGAAGAUUCAGCCUUACUGAAUCACACACUGGGACCAAAUUAAAUUAUCUCAAACAUGAGAAGCCAUUAUCAGAUUUAUGUCUUUUUUCUGCUCAGUCUAGCCUGGCAUAACCACAAACAGAGUUUAA